AACUGGUUGAUUCUGCCAGUCGUUAUAUGCUUCGUUCAAGGAUUAAGCCAUGCAUAUGUCUGAACAAGUGAGAGGGCUUCGGUCCUCAAAGCAAGUCUGUGAACAGCUCAUUAAAACAGUUAGAAUGAGCACGGUGAGUAAAUGAGUAUAUCGCAACGGAGGACAACCAAUCUAACUGACUGGCUAACACGGUUGCAAAAGACGCACUCUUGGUGGUCCUGGCUUGGAUGGGUGACCAGAAAAGCCUCAUCAUGGUGCGCAUCCAGGUGCUUCAAAAAUCGUUACGGGUCAAACCGCUGGAUCGUCGUUGACACAAUCUGGGGGAAUGUGUGGACAUCUUUGUCGCACCGUGUAUGUUUCUGAUCCAUCAGCUGGUUGGUUGCGAAAAGAGCACUCAAAGCAUUCACGGAUACAGGGAAUCAGGGUUCGACUCUGGAGAGGGAGCCUGAGAAACGGCUGCCACUACCAAGGUUGGCAGCAGGCGCGAAAACUACCCAAAUGGCAGCACUGCUGAGGUGGCAACGAAGAGUAGCAUGAGGAAGAGUCAUUUAAUCUGCCUGUUUGCAAUGAGCGUUCAAACAAAUAUAUCACUGAGGAUCAAAUGGAGGGCAAGUCUGGUGCCAGCAGCCGCGGUAAUUCCAGCUCCAUUGGCGUAUGCGAAUGCUGCUGCUGUUAAAAAGCUCGUAGUUUGUCUUCAGCAUGAGGUGCCAUUUGCUUGGCUCGCCGACGCAGUUCGCUGCUGACGUGAACCAAACCAAGCAUUGGCAAUCGCCUCAUGCGUGGACUGAACUCGAACUGUGGAAACAUCCUUUGCUGUGUUGCGGAAAUCGUCUUACGAAAAUCAUACGUGUAAUGUGAAGUGAAGAAUAUCGCCGUGAGAUAACCAGCGUGUUCAAGGCAUCCUAACCUUUUGGCAACCGGACGAAUGGUCAAGCAUGGUACGGUGCGGGAGCGAACCUCAACAGCAAGAGUUUGAUCGAUUUUGGACUGUGGAGGCAUAUCAGGGUAAUGCGUUCAGUGUGCCGUCAAACGUGCGACAUUGACCCUACCCUUCGGAACCAAGAGAGAUGAUUGUAGUUCUUGGUAUUAACCCCAGAGGAGUGAAACCCUGUGACGUCGAUACGACUCCCCGAUGCGAAGGCGUUGGGCAGGGAGCGCGGUUGUUGAUCAAGAACGUGAGUUUGGAGAUCGAAGAUGAUUAGAUACCGUCGUAGUCCAUACCGUAAACCGUGCGAACCAAUGUUCUGUGAGUCCGCUUGACGGAUCCAGUCCCUUGGGACGUACGCAAAACCAAUCUAUUCAUUGUGGCGCGAAAGCUGGAGUCUCCACGCUCAGGGGGAAGUAUGGUCACAAGGCUGAAACUUAAAGAAAUUGACGGAAUGACACCACCAGGCGUGGGGUGUGCGGCUUAAUUUGACUCAACGCGGGGAAGUUUAUCAGGUCCGGAUGCUGGCUGGAUUGACAGUGUGAUGGUGCUUUCAUGAUUCAGCAAAUGGUGGUGCAUGGCCGUUCCUAGUUGGUGAGGUGACUUGUCUGCCUGAUUGCGAUAACGAACGAGAUCUUUGUGGCUUAAUAGAUUGUGGUCUCGUUUUAGGAGGCUUCCUUGUGUUGCCUCUGAGGGACCAUGCAACUGCUUUGCCGGGCUGCGUGCGAUAUCAAGUACGAUUAAAAGAGGCGAUAGCAGGUCUGUGAUGCUCCUCGACGUUCUGGGCUGCACGCGUACAACACUGAAACAGGAAGCGCGUUAGCCUUCAAUUGAAACCUGCUCUGAGGAGAGUGGGAAAUCGUAAAACUGAGUCGUGAUGGGGACAGCAUUAUUGCAAAUCUUACGCUCGAACGAGGAAUGCCUCGUAAAGGUCGCUCAUCAGACAGCCUUGAUUAUGUCCCUGCCAUUUGUACACACCGCCCGUCGUUGCUACCGAUGAUUUGAAUGUAGAGGCGGAGAGAAACUGGCUAUAGCUUCGUGCUGAGUACUAUAUUGAAUUCCACCAAUACGUCCCCGUUAGAGGAAGCAAAAGUCGUAACAAGGUUGCUGUAGGUGAACCUGCAGCAGGAUCAAU
rnacentral:rRNA from 1 species